rnacentral:rRNA from 1 species
AUUGAACGCUGGCGGAAUGCUUUACACAUGCAAGUCGAACGGCAGCACGGACUUCGGUCUGGUGGCGAGUGGCGAACGGGUGAGUAAUGUAUCGGAACGUGCCCAGUCGUGGGGGAUAACGUAGUGAAAAUUACGCUAAUACCGCAUACGAUCUAUGGAUGAAAGCGGGGGAUCGCAAGACCUCGCGCGAUUGGAGCGGCCGAUAUCAGAUUAGGUAGUUGGUGGGGUAAAGGCCCACCAAGCCAACGAUCUGUAGCUGGUCUGAGAGGACGACCAGCCACACUGGAACUGAGACACGGUCCAGACUCCUACGGGAGGCAGCAGUGGGGAAUUUUGGACAGUGGGCGAAAGCCUGAUCCAGCCAUUCCGCGUGCAGGAUGAAGGCCCUCGGGUUGUAAACUGCUUUUGUACAGAACGAAAAGGUUUCUACUAAUACUAGGAGCUCACGACGGUACUGUAAGAAUAAGCACCGGCUAACUACGUGCUAGCAGCCGCCGUAA